CUUUUGCUUCUGCUAAACUUUCAGGAAUGUAAUGAAUCUGGUUUCGGAAGCUUUUAGAAUGGCUAGUAACUACUACGAAGAGCAGGUAAACAGAAAGGAGCAGAAGCUGUUGGAUACUGCUGUUGAAUAUAAGGAGGGACCAUCACUUAUAACGUCUUCUGAAACAUGUUGACCUUUUAGGCUCUUGGCAAAGUGACUACGAUGUCAAUAUACAUCUUAUGGAAGACU
rnacentral:lncRNA from 1 species